CGAUGAUGCAUAGCCGAGUUGAGAGACUGAUCGGGCCACAUUGGGACUGAGACACGGGCCCAAAACUCCUACGGGGAGGGCAGCAGUAGGAAUCUUCCAACAAUGGACGCAAGUCUGAUGGAGCAACGCCGCGUGAGUGAAGUAAGGUUUUCGGAUCGUAAAAGCUCUGUUGUUGGUGAAGAAGGAUAGAGGUAGUAACUGGCCUUUAUUUGACGGUAAUCAACAGAAGUCACGGCUAACUACGUGCCAGCAGCCGCGGUAAU
rnacentral:rRNA from 1 species